rnacentral:rRNA from 1 species
AGCAGUAGCCGCGGGAAUACGAAGGGGGCUAGCGUUGUUCGGAAUUACUGGGCGUAAAGCGCACGUAGGCGGAUAUUUAAGUCAGGGGUGAAAUCCCAGAGCUCAACUCUGGAACUGCCUUUGAUACUGGGUAUCUUGAGUAUGGAAGAGGUGAGUGGAAUUCCGAGUGUAGAGGUGAAAUUCGUAGAUAUUCGGAGGAACACCAGUGGCGAAGGCGGCUCACUGGUCCAUUACUGACGCUGAGGUGCGAAAGCGUGGGGAGCAAACAGGAUUAGAUACCCCAGUAGUCCCUGUCUCUUAUAC